AAAAGGUAUGACUUUUGAACGUUUGAACCUUCCCAACCGUUAUUACCGUUUUCUUGAAAAGGUAUGACUUUUGAACGUUUGAACCUUCCCAACCGUUAUUACCGUUUUUCUUGAAAAGGUAUGACUUUUGAACGUUUGAACCUUCCCAACCGUUAUUACCGUUUUCUUGAAAAGGUAUGACUUUUCGUUUUCAGUUUUCGUUCUCCUAUAAAAGGGGGAAAUCUGGCCUCGGUUUAGGGUUACACACAAAAACCAUUCUACGUUCCAGAAUCUUUC